GAGAGUGGCGAACGGGUGAGUAACACGUAGAUGAUCUGCCCUUGAGUUGGGGAUAGCCCAUGGAAACAUGGAGUAAUACCGAAUACGGUCACGGGACUAUGGUUCUGUGAAGAAAAGCGCUUCGGCGCUGCUCGAGGAUGAGUCUGCGGCUGAUUAGCUAGUUGGUGGGGUAAGAGCCCACCAAGGCGACGAUCAGUAGCCGGCCUGAGAGGGUGAACGGCCACACUGGGACUGAGAUACGGCCCAGACUCC
rnacentral:rRNA from 1 species